UCUACUUGCUGCCGCUGCUUUCUGGGGUGUUUGCUGGUCUGCGUAUCGGUUCUUUGUUUGGUUUUUCGUUGCCUCAGCAUGGAUCCGGCGGCCUACAUGGUGGUUGCCAUCGAAUCGGUCGUGGGUUGCUUUCGCUACAUUUUUGUUUGGGUUAAUGAUUCUGUGUUGUUGUUUACAAGAACUCUCUUUUUAGGGUGGCCCUAAUUUUUGAUGCUGUUCCAUCUGUCGGUGUUUUUCGGAUACGUGCAUUGGGUGUUUGUUGCUGCGUGUGCUGCUCAAGUCUUUGCUUCUAGGGUGGUUCUGCUUCGGUUGGUGCAUGUAAGGAUGUGGGACACCAUCGGUUCUACGGUCUUCAAAAUGCUGCGCACGCAUCUUCCCCUCUCAGAUGGCCUGGGCUUCUUCCAUAUCCCGUUGCCGACUGGGCACAAGGAUGUGUCGGUGCCUAUGGAAGGAUUGACUGCUUCUGAUGAAGAAUACGAUGGGCUCAUUGAGGAUCUUACAGAAGAGGAUGAGAGAAGGGCUUUGAAGGAGAAGGUAACUUUGGAUGGACCUAUCUUGGAGGGUUGGCAACGGUGCGAGAAGCUUCUGUGGUUAACUCUCCAAGUAGGCACAGCAAAAGAAGGGUACAUGAUUCAGAUCAGUCAUCUCUAGAGAGGGCGGAGAAGCUAAAGUCUAUCCGCAACCUAGAGAAUCUUUCGUCUAAAAUUUUUUUCAGAGUGACAUAUUUGCUACGGUGGUGGGCAAUCCUACAAAAGCAUGAAGAGAACAAAGAAAUUAUCUCUAUUGCGUGUCAGAAGGUGAAGAUUUUGGCUAUGCAAGUGGUUAGACAUUUUGGCUGAAGAUUUAGCAAUAGAAUUGAGUAAUGUUUUACUCUAGUGAUCCUCGUUGUUCCUCUCUUACUUGAUGGACUUUUAGCUUUAUGUAUGGGCCAAAUUUAUGCGUGUUAGGAAUCUAUAAACUUUGUAAUAAGUGGAUGUAGCUUGUUUGAAGUCAAGGCUGGAUUCUUUUAUCCAUUAUCUUAAAAGAGGAAAGCAUUUCUUCGUUCAGCCACUAACAUCAUAAAAACAUGUGUUGCAGCUUUUCCGUCAUGCCUCAAACAUCAGUUGUGCUACAGUUCACCCACUUCGAAAAAGAUUUUGAGAUUGUAGACAGCUGCAACGGAUACCAUGGGAAAUUAUUAACCUUGGUUACACUUCCAGUGAAUGUCAAGCUUGAAAAAAUAGGUCCAUCAUUCUAUAUGUGCAAAGGCUAGAAAAAUAUGUUGAGCUGACUGGCCUACGCGUUGGCCAGUGUGUUAAUUUCAGUGUGCUUU